GAUGAAGAACGCAGCGAAAUGCGAUACUUGGUGUGAAUUGCAGAAUCCCGUGAACCAUCGAGUCUUUGAACGCAAGUUGCGCCCGAAGCCAUUAGGCCGAGGGCACGCCUGCCUGGGUGUCACACGUCGUUGCCCCCCCAUCUACUCCUUCGGGAUUGCGGGGGGCGGAUGAUGGCCUCCCGUGCGCCUCGUCGCGCGGUUGGCAUAAAUGCCAAGUCCUCGGCGACGCACGCCACGACAAUCGGUGGUUGCGAAACCUCGGUUGCCCGUCGUGUGCGGUCGUCGCGCAUCGAGGGCUCGAAAAAAUUGCCGGGCUCCGGCUCGGCUUUCAACGCGACCCCAGGUCAGGCGGGGUUACCCGCUGAAUUUAAGCAUAUCAAUAACGGAGGA
rnacentral:misc_RNA from 1 species